rnacentral:rRNA from 1 species
GGCGCAGGCGGAUGUGUAAGCCAGACGUGAAAUCCCGGGGCUCAACCCCGGAACUGCAUUUGGAACUACUCAUCUAGAGGAUAGGCGGAGAAAACGGAAUUCCACAUGUAGCGGUGAAAUGCGUAGAUAUGUGGAAGAACACCGGUGGCGAAGGCGGUUUUCUAGCUUAUACCUGACGCUGAGGCCCGAAAGCUAGGGGAUCAAACA